rnacentral:rRNA from 1 species
GGGUUGUGAGGUUAAGCGACUAAGCGUACACGGUGGAUGCCCUGGCAGUCAGAGGCGAUGAAGGGCGUGCUAAUCUGCGAUAAGCGCCGGUAAGGUGAUAUGAACCGUUAUAACCGGCGAUACCCGAAUGGGGAAACCCAGUGUGACUCGUCACACUAUCAUUAACUGAAUCCAUAGGUUAAUGAGGCGAACCGGGGGAACUGAAACAUCUAAGUACCCCGAGGAAAAGAAAUCAACCGAGAUUCCCCCAGUAGCGGCGAGCGAACGGGGAGGAGCCCAGAGCCUGAAUCAGCAUGUGUGUUAGUGGAAGCGUCUGGAAAGGCGCGCGAUACAGGGUGACAGCCCCGUACACAAAAGCGCAUGUGCUGUGAGCUCGAUGAGUAGGGCGGGACACGUGGUAUCCUGUCUGAAUAUGGGGGGACCAUCCUCCAAGGCUAAAUACUCCUGACUGACCGAUAGUGAACCAGUACCGUGAGGGAAAGGCGAAAAGAACCCCGGCGAGGGGAGUGAAAAAGAACCUGAAACCGUGUACGUACAAGCAGUGGGAGCCCCACCACUAAGCCAGUGGUGAACUCCACAUACGCAUCCUUUGCUGAGGAUACGGUUAACGGAGCGCAAGCGACGUUCAACCGCAAAAGAAGCAGAGGGGGCUUAGUGGUGGGGUGACUGCGUACCUUUUGUAUAAUGGGUCAGCGACUUAUAUUCUGUAGCAAGGUUAACCGUAUAGGGGAGCCGCAGGGAAACCGAGUCUUAAUUGGGCGUUAAGUUGCAGGGUAUAGACCCGAAACCCGGUGAUCUAGCCAUGGGCAGGUUGAAGGUUGGGUAACACUAACUGGAGGACCGAACCGACUAAUGUUGAAAAAUUAGCGGAUGACCUGUGGCUGGGGGUGAAAGGCCAAUCAAACCGGGAGAUAGCUGGUUCUCCCCGAAAGCUAUUUAGGUAGCGCCUCGUGAAUUCAUCUCCGGGGGUAGAGCACUGUUUCGGCUAGGGGGCCAUCCCGGCUUACCAACCCGAUGCAAACUGCGAAUACCGGAGAAUGUUAUCACGGGAGACACACGGCGGGUGCUAACGUCCGUCGUGAAGAGGGAAACAACCCAGACCGCCAGCUAAGGUCCCAAAGUCAUGGUUAAGUGGGAAACGAUGUGGGAAGGCCCAGACAGCCAGGAUGUUGGCUUAGAAGCAGCCAUCAUUUAAAGAAAGCGUAAUAGCUCACUGGUCGAGUCGGCCUGCGCGGAAGAUGUAACGGGGCUAAACCAUGCACCGAAGCUGCGGCAGCGAACGUAUCACUUAAAGCGAUUCAGCGGGUUACGAUUGACGGAGCGAAGCGACGUCAAAGCGUAUACAAAGUCGAGUCGGUUUAAGGAUACGUUCGUUGGGUAGGGGAGCGUUCUGUAAGCCUGUGAAGGUGGCCUGUGAGGGUUGCUGGAGGUAUCAGAAGUGCGAAUGCUGACAUAAGUAACGAUAAAGCGGGUGAAAAGCCCGCUCGCCGGAAGACCAA